rnacentral:rRNA from 1 species
UGCAAGUCGAACGGGCUUAAGGGGCUUGCUCCUUAAGUUAGUGGCGAACGGGUGAGUAAUAUAUCGGAACGUAUCCAAUAAUGGGGGAUAACUAAGCGAAAGCUUGGCUAAUACCGCAUACGCCCUGAGGGGGAAAGCUAGGGAUCUUCGGACCUGGCGUUGAUGGAGCGGCCGAUAUCUGAUUAGCUAGUUGGUGGGGUAAAGGCCCACCAAGGCGACGAUCAGUAGCUGGUCUGAGAGGACGACCAGCCACACUGGAACUGAGACACGGUCCAGACUCCUACGGGAGGCAGCAGUGGGGAAUUUUGGACAAUGGGCGCAAGCCUGAUCCAGCCAUUCCGCGUGAGUGAAGAAGGCCUUCGGGUUGUAAAGCUCUUUCGCAAGGGAAGAAAGAUUACUCUCUAACAUAGAGUGAUUAUGACGGUACCUUGAUAAGAAGCACCGGCUAACUACGUGCCAGCAGCCGCGGUAAUACGUAGGGUGCGAGCGUUAAUCGGAAUUACUGGGCGUAAAGCGUGCGCAGGCUGUUUUGUAAGUCAGAUGUGAAAUCCCCGAGCUCAACUUGGGAACUGCGUUUGAAACUACAAGACUAGAAUAUGUCAGAGGGGGGUAGAAUUCCACGUGUAGCAGUGAAAUGCGUAGAGAUGUGGAGGAAUAUCAAUGGCGAAGGCAGCCCCCUGGGAUAAUAUUGACGCUCAUGCACGAAAGCGUGGGGAGCAAACAGGAUUAGAUACCCUGGUAGUCCACGCCCUAAACGAUGUCAACUAGUUGUUGGUAGAGUAAAAUCUAUGAGUAACGCAGCUAACGCGUGAAGUUGACCGCCUGGGGAGUACGAUCGCAAGAAUAAAACUCAAAUGAAUUGACGGGGGCCCGCACAAGCGGUGGAUUAUGUGGAUUAAUUCGAUGCAACGCGAAAAACCUUACCUGGCCUUGACAUGUACGGAACUUUCCGAGAUGGAUUGGUGCUCAAAAGAAACCGUAACA